rnacentral:rRNA from 1 species
UUGACCUCAAAUUAGGUAGGGAUACCCGCUGAACUUAAGCAUAUCAAUAAGCGGAGGAAAAGAAACCAACAGGGAUUGCGGU